UCGCCAGAUUUGAUCGACUCUCCUAUAUCCCACGACUGCGGCGAUCAGGGCUGGCAGAUUGGUGGUGGCCGCCCGCCGGCCGAGCUCGGAUCCACCACACAACCAUCCCCGCGAGCACUCCGCCCUAUCCCUUCCUGAUUGCAGCGACCGGCGACGGCGGAUUGGAGGAGGCCGCCCAACCGGCUGAGCUCAGAUCCACUACAUCAACCAGCGACAGCGGAUUGGAGGAGGCCGCCCCACCCGGCUCUCUUUCCCCACCGAUUGCAGUGGACGACGACGUCUGAUGCUUCAGUUACUAAAAUCGUGCCACCAGUUCUGGAGAGUGAUAUGCAUAGCAGGGAAUCUCUUGCGGAACAGAAAAAGAUAAGUACAACAAUCAGGACCCGAGUCCCAUUGUGUUUUUCAAAGACACCCAUACAAACAACAAGACUGGUAGCAUGAGCGAGCCGACACUUCUAGCUCAUAAUGCGAUGGAAAAGAAAAGGGAAACACAAUGAGAAGGUGAGUAUCUAGUAUUCGAUACAAUGAUUGUGGCUAAAGUUCUAAAGGAAAAAAGCACCCACAGCACAUUCCUUUCUAGCAUGGGGUAUGCAUCAAGAUCUGCGAGGUCUGGGAGCUCUACUUCAAUAGCCCAGAUCCGAGUUCUAGGAGAAAUAAUUGAACAGAAGGAUAGAGAGGCAAGAGAUGCAAAUAACGGGCAUCGGGAGGAGUUACCUGCAAGCAUUUGAAGAGAUACAAAAUAAGCAGCAAGAAGUAUUGGAAGCUCUAAAGAAGAGACGACAAGAGAAGAAUGAAGCCUGGGCAAAGAAGUAAAAGGCGACGAAUAAUCUGCUUGAUUUUCUCUUGAGGGCUCAAGCAACUCUGCAGUCCCAGCCCAUCCUUACAUUGCAAUCAUCAGUACAACAUAUGUGGUCUUUAGUUAAUAUUAGUUUUCAACUUGCCUAUUGUUUGUGUCAAACUUGAGUCCGUUUUUAUCAUCAUUUUUCUUUACAAAAUGAUUUG